rnacentral:lncRNA from 1 species
AUACUUGCUCACAAUAGGAAACAAUUUUAUGAAUGAUUAGUCAUGCUCGACAAUGUGUGGUGGAGGUGAUAUAUUCAAAGUUACUUCAACAUUCCAAUUAGUAGGUGUAUUUAGAAAGACAUUGCACAUGUUUAGUGUGUUGCCUUUUUCCCUUUUAUAGUAAGAGUGUUUGGCCUUGGAGGAGUCUAAGUAUAUGAGUGUGUUGUUGUUUUUGAUUGACUGUAUUUUAUAAAAUAACAUGAAGUAUUCAAGAUGUUUUGGUGAAGAAAAUAACACAUGUGAGACACGAUAUUCCAACAUGUGUACAAU